UUUUUUUUUCUUUCUGUCAGAGGUUGCAGAACUUCCUCUUUGAUAUAAUAGUGCCUGUUAAAAAAAACAAAAACAUUUUUUUUACUUCAACAGUCACACACAGCCGCUUUGCAGCUCGCCGGCUGUAUCACAGUUUGACAUUUCUUGGCUGGCCCCCUUCUUUUUUUUUAGUGAUGUGUGAGGCAAUCCAGCAAGUGUGCAGGGAGUGUACUUUGCUUCAGUCUUCAGCCAAGACCCACCUCCUGUUGACACCGGCCACGUGGGCUUCAGCGAGAAAAAGAGGCUUAACAGGAGACCCCCGCCGUAUUCCCAGAAGCCCCUGCUUAGCUUCAGUGACAUUUGUUGACUCAAUACUUUAAGGCUCAGGGCAGAAAAAGAGAUUUGUUUUUACACUGAAUGGGGGAGGGGAAGACACAGAGGGAAGGAGGAGGCACUCUGGACUGCUGCACGGGUCAGGACAGCACGCAGACUUUUAACGUGCACAGAAAAAUGUGGCCCUAAAGUCAGACAAAUGUUGGCACAUGUAGGUGCUUAUUGCUUUUUUUAUGUGUUAAAUUGUGAUGGAAAUUUCCAAAAAUGUGUGCAGGGUGGCCUAUAGCUGAGGAUAUGAAAUAAAAAGGACUAUAAGUGGACUAAGUUAGAAUAGCGGUUUCUUAUGUGUUGAAUUGCCUGCUCCAAGCAAAGCAGACUUGCCAAUGCACCCCAACAAAGUGUGCUCCUCAUUUGUAGGGCAGCCUGUGUUGGCUUUGACUGGUAGGUUUCCCUCCACCUCACUCUUUCCUGAAGAAAUCAAAAGGUAACUAGUUUGUAGGCUUUUGUCCUGUCCAGUGACUAAUGAGUUUAGAGGGAAACAUGCAGUAACACCAGAAAUGUCACUACAAACACCUAAAUAACACAUGGUCAUUGACAUACCAUGAUGCCUCGACUGUUUACUCGUUCAACAUGAAUCUGCUGACUUUUACACGAGAAAAAUGCCUUCUAAUAUAAGUUUGAAAAGUUUUAGCACCGAUAUGGAACAAAUUAAGGUGCUGCAUAUGGUGCAAAGCUGCUUUUCUUCUCUUCAGAGGUCGAAGACUUACAGUAGUUUUAAAAAUAUCAGGGCUGGAGCUAAAGCUCUGGUGUUAAAGGGUUAAACAUGAAUGCGAAGUUAUUCAUCUUGAACCAAUUUGAUUUUUCUUUUUUUGCAUUUAAUUACAAAAAUUAUAAACUAUAUAAGGGUAAAAUGACAUCUAAAACAAAAUUACUUCACUUCUGGACCUAAACGGAGAAGUAAAGGUAAAACCCAUGUACACUUUUAAUUUUGUCAAGCAGCUGUAACAGCUAACUGACAGUAAGCUGCAGACAGUUCACAAAUACACAUGGAGGCAGCAAUGAGAGGGUCACGCAGGUCAGUGGGACACGGUCGCCAUGGCAAAUGGAUCUGAUAAUGUCAAAACCGAACAAACCUGAAAAACGGUGGCCAAAAUUAACCAGUCUGAAAGUUUUUAAUUUUUAUA